rnacentral:rRNA from 1 species
ACGAACGCUGGCGGCGUGCUUAACACAUGCAAGUCGAACGGUGAAGCGCCUUCCUUUUUGGUGGGUGUGGAUGAGUGGCGAACGGGUGAGUAACACGUGAGUAACCUGCCCCCUUCUUCUGGAUAACCGCAUGAAAGUGUGGCUAAUACGGGAUAUUCUGGGUCUGUCGCAUGAUGGGUCUGGGAAAGAUAUUGUUUCGGUGGGGGAUGGGCUCGCGGCCUAUCAGCUUGUUGGUGGGGUGAUGGCCUACCAAGGCGGUGACGGGUAGCCGGCCUGAGAGGGUGGACGGUCACACUGAGACUGAGACACGGCCCAGACUCCUACGGGAGGCAGCAGUGGGGAAUAUUGCACAAUGGGCGCAAGCCUGAUGCAGCGACGCCGCGGGAGGGAUGGAGGCCUUCGGGUUGUGAACCUCUUUCGCCAGUGAAGCAGGCCUGCCUCGUUUGUGGGUGGGUUGACGGUAGCUGGAUAAGAAGCGCCGGCUAACUACGUG